UAAUAAGUGUUUUAUGGCACUUUUUAAAUCCAUAUCCACCUUGUGUGCAAUGUCGGUCGAUCUCCUUUUUUGAGGAUCGACCAAACAUCAACCUUUAUUUUUAACUCUUUGUCUGAAAAUAUUAUGAAUAAACAAUUCAAAAUA
rnacentral:misc_RNA from 1 species